rnacentral:rRNA from 1 species
AUGCUCCACUCGUGGCGAAAUCUGGACCAUGUUCCCCGAUCUGCUUAUCAAUUCUGGAUCAUGGCCCGGAACAUCAUGGGAGUAAAAGACAAGAAGAAAUGGGGUAAACCGAAUUGGCUCUGCCACAUCACCGAAGGGAUAAGUAGAGAAGAAAAGAGGUGGGGAACCAAGGAGGUCCUUGUUAGACAUCCCGCGGACAAUGUAAGAUCGACUUUCAUCUUUAAGAACAGCAGCCACCGGGAUGGUGCUAUAUACAAAAGAAGCUUUGCUCUUCGAAAAUUAUGUCGUGUUACUGACCGUGAUGAGACACAACUUGAGCCAAUGAUGUUAUCGGAGCCAACGGAUUGCUUUCCUGACCGAGAAAGGUGCUGCGUGCAUUAUGAAAGGCCGAUGAUGCAAAUUUUCUCAUUAAAAUUGGCUAGUGUCUCUAUCAACACUAGCUCAGUAGAACUAUAUGGAUAUAUUGCAGUGCGGGAUUAUGUGGACUCAUUGCUUAAUUAUAUUGUCAACCGUAGCAGGGAUGACCCCAUUAUUGCGCAACAGGGUUCUUUCAUUGAGAUGACUGGCCCUAAGCGAGGCAUUGCAAUGAAUUCCCCUGUUCUAGUUGAAUUUGACAUGAGGAUCAAGACAGGAGAGAAAGAAGAAGAUGAUCUAACAUUGAUCGACGGCGCAACAGAUUAUUGUGACCUAACCAUACCUUCUGUGUCAUUCACACAUCGCAUUCAUGGCAAUUGUGGUGCGGUUGACAUCACUUUAGCACGUGUUUACAAUGCAGUGGAAGCAACAAUAGAUGUUCUCGUAUUGAAAGUGCAGAAUGGAUUCAAUUUAUCGCUCAGUUCGUUUGUGUUUGUCGGCGGAUCAGAUCAGGAAAUUCCUCUCUUUCGUGGCACUACUGCUGAGUCAUGUGGCUUAAGAAGAUGCGUGAUUGCUGUGAAGAUGGAUACUUGGAUGCAGUUGAAGUUCAAGGUAGGUCAGAACGGCUCUAAAAAUGAUCAUCUUGAACGCAGUUGCUACUUCAAAGCAAACAUUCAUGGAUGUGCCUGUCAACAAAUAAUGCUUCAGCAUGCCGCCCUCUCUGUGAAGGUGACUUGGUCGACCGUGCCAGUAUAA